CUGGGCGUAAAGAGCUCGUAGGUGGUUCGUCGCGUUGUUCGUGAAAUCUCACGGCUUAACUGUGAGCGUGCGGGCGAUACGGGCAGACUUGAGUACUGCAGGGGAGACCGGAAUUCCUGGUGUAGCGGUGGAAUGCGCAGAUAUCAGGAGGAACACCGGUGGCGAAGGCGGGUCUCUGGGCAGUAACUGACGCUGAGGAGCGAAAGCGUGGGGAGCGAACAGGAUUAGAUACCCUGGUAGUCCACGCCGUAAACGGUGGGUACUAGGUGUGGGUUUCCUUCCUUGGGAUCCGUGCCGUAGCUAACGCAUUAAGUACCCCGCCUGGGGAGUACGGCCGCAAGGCUAAAACUCAAAGAAAUUGACGGGGGCCCGCACAAGCGGCGGAGCAUGUGGAUUAAUUCGAUGCAACGCGAAGAACCUUACCUGGGUUUGACAUGCACAGGACGCCGGCAGAGAUGUCGGUUCCCUUGUGGCCUGUGUGCAGGUGGUGCAUGGCUGUCGUCAGCUCGUGUCGUGAGAUGUUGGGUUAAGUCCCGCAACGAGCGCAACCCUUGUCUCAUGUUGCCAGCGGGUAAUGCCGGGGACUCGUGAGAGACUGCCGGGGUCAACUCGGAGGAAGGUGGGGAUGACGUCAAGUCAUCAUGCCCCUUAUGUCCAGGGCUUCACACAUGCUACAAUGGCCGGUACAAAGGGCUGCGAUGCCGCGAGGUUAAGCGAAUCCUUUUAAAGCCGGUCUCAGUUCGGAUCGGGGUCUGCAACUCGACCCCGUGAAGUCGGAGUCGCUAGUAAUCGCAGAUCA
rnacentral:rRNA from 1 species